UGCUAAUUUUCUAUUGGCGAAGCCGCACUCCCUGGCCCGCUACGCGCCCCGCCUAUUGGAAAGCGCAAGUGUUGGUCAAACGAAUGGCGCCUCUCACUGGCUGGCGUUUAGAACGAUCGUGGCCGCCUUCGGCAGUCUAGAACUCUCACUGGUUCUAAAGAGGAAUCAUUCUCUCUAGCAGCUGGGCAUCGAUUGGUCGCCGCGAGCGCCUCCGCCCCCAAACAGCAUGCAUUCACUCUGAGCACCAAGGCCACUGAUGUUUUCUCCAUGUUCGCUAUUCAUUUUGAAGCUGUGGAGCAGGAUACUUUGCAGCAGGCUUUCUGCUCCAUCUUGCAAGGAGUUCCAGCUGCUCAGCCCUGCAUUAUCUCAGUUGUCUGCUAGACUGGAUACAAGUCUCAGUUCCAACAUUAGCAGGAAAACUGGGAUCUACAAAGGCCCCAAAAGAUGCCUACACAGAAUAGAAUGCAUAGGAAUGGGAUCCUCUAGAUUGUCAGACUCUGAAGGUCUACAUACUUUCGUUUUGCAAACAUCCAAGGAGAACAUAUCCUAAUCCACACCAUGGACAUAAACUCCCCCUCACCUGCUUUCUUCCAAGAAGUACAGUGUUUAAGCAAAGCACAAGGACAUCAGAACAACCACUCUCCCUGCUGGAUGAUAGCCUGGGUCCAGGAAUUCUGCUAAACCGGAGGAAAGGUGAGAACUCAGAGAGACCCACUGGAUUUUAAGUGCUGGAGCCUGCCCAUCAGGCCAGCUUUCCAAGUCACCUCCAGCAGCACGGAACUCCAGCCUGAAGCCACUAGCUGGUAUCUAGGGAGUGGGUCACAUCUGGCUUGGAUUUAGCAUUUGCUAUUUGUUAGCACUCUAAAGACUGUUUAAUUUACGCACAGCUUGCGUGUAUGUGCAUGAGUGUAUGUAUGUAUUAAGACACAGCUGGUCCUAUGGAGACAAGGUUGACUGUUACCCCUGAGGCAAGAGGCCCAUGGAAAGCACGGUGGCCGGUGUUGCAUUAUUGCCCUUUACUAUUCUUUGACCUCCGCUUGAUAUAUUUUUCCAUAACCCUAGGCAGUGAGCUCUCUGUGGGUGGGAACUGUCUGUGUGUUAUUGUCUGUUAAACGAGGACCUCAUUGUGGAAUACAGCUUCCGAACUUCACUACUAGACAAAUAAUACCAACAGGCAAGGUGGCCAGCAUCUGUCUUAACUGGUCCACCACCACAGGCAAGGUGGAUGUUGACUAAUCUCGGGGAAGCCUGCAAUGGGAGCAAAAAACUGUUCCCUUAGAAGUGUGCCAGCACUAGCAAAACAUAAAAGCCACAAUUGCUAAAAGCAGGAAUGAUACACACACAUCACAAGAAGCAAUAACUAGGAUAGAAGCACACAAAGGUGACCUGUGAACCUGCUGAGAAAGACAGUGGGAAAACAACAGCAAGUCUAGUCUAAAGUAAUAGUGUGAGAAAAUUCUUCAAGGCAUAGCAGAGGCACAUACUAGUCACUGGAGCUGCCCUUUCAGUUGUGUUUGUUGCUGAGAACUGAGUGAUGCCAGCAUAUCAAGGGGAUGUCCAGAAGAGUUGGACCUACAUUUCUGAUCCUCUAAUAUGCUUUGUCAGGAAAGAAUGGGAACAUCUCUUUUUACAUGCUGAGGAAACUCAGUGUUUUUCAGUAGAAUUUACACCACAGGGCAAAAAGCAACUGCAGAACAAUGGAGAUUUUGCCUUGCCCACAGUAUCUGAUAUGUGACAGUGCUCUCAGGAUAUUUAUACUCAGGUGCUACUGUUGUUCAAAGGAGCAACAGUUAGUGCUGUUGCAGUGUGCACCACUAAGGACAAAUGAUGAAAAAUAAAGCUGUACCACAAUGAAGUUGAGAGGUCCUUAGCUCAAAGUAAAUAUGACAUGAAGGGCCUAGGCUAAUCCCUGAUUUCCUGGGAAUGGCAUUCAUCUUUUACCAUGAAACUGCUUCAGAAUGCAAGUCCUUUGGGUUACUAAGGAAGCACUGAACACAUUAGCUGAACAUACCUGAUGCAGUACUGCCUGACUGCUUCUGUGGCCUCUGAGGCUCUAGCUUGGGGAAAAUUACAAGUGUUCAGUUCCUCUCCAGUGUUCAUUACUUCUGGAACAUAAUGCUAGGCAUUAAAUGACAAAACAUAUAGUCGUUUCACUGCUAAUCAACUCAUGCUCAUACUAGAAUCCUUGCUUAUUCAUCACACCUUCCCAGAUCCCAUAAGCUCCUGUUGCCUUCUACUCAACUGUCCAGUUUGGAUUGACAGAAUGAACCCUCUCUGAGUGGUGGUGUCAGGACAAAAAUGUUCAGCAUUCUGAAAACUGAAAGUAAAAAGAUUCAAUAAACCCAAACAUAAAAACAUAACACAAGACCUAGUGUACUCAAGGUUCUAUGUAUUUUCACAUUUAAUUUCAGUAAAAGUAUACCUUUAAGAUUAGAGUUGACACAAUGUCUAGUCUGCUGCACUGUCAAGAUAAAAAUCCAACAGGUUUUCUAAAGGGACUGUGUCCAGGUUCCUAUGAAGUUAAUGGUGAUGAAGGGCCCUGAUAACGUAGAAUAUUGUUCAAGAGUCUGGGAAUCAGGACAUGCAGGUACUGCUUCGUUUGCACUAUAUACUUGCUGAGAGCGCUUGGGCAACAUAUUUAUUCUCUUUAUGUCUCUUUUUCCUCAGAGAGAAAGUGGUAAUAACAACACUCCUAACUUCUACACACAAAAUUAAAAGCAUAAAGCAA